rnacentral:tRNA from 1 species
GGAGAGGUGACGGAGCGGCCGAACGUGCACGCUUGGAAAGCGUGUGUCCUGGCAACGGGACCGCGGGUUCGAAUCCCGCCCUCUCCGCCA